AGGGCGGGCGCGCGUGGCGGCGGCGGUUGGAGUGGGCCGGCGGCAUUAUAACGGGCGCGGCAAGAUGACUGGAUCAAAUGAAUUUAAAUUAAACCAGCCUCCAGAAGAUGGUAUUUCAUCGGUGAAGUUUAGUCCAAACACAUCUCAGUUUCUGCUCGUUUCAUCAUGGGAUACUUCAGUCCGACUCUAUGAUGUACCUGCCAACACUAUGAGACUCAAAUAUCAACAUUCAGGAGCUGUUCUUGACUGUGCUUUUUAUGAUCCUACACAUGCCUGGAGUGGAGGAUUAGAUCAGCAGUUGAAAAUGCAUGACUUGAACACAGAUCAAGAAAACCUUGUUGGCACCCAUGAUGCUCCUAUCAGAUGUGUCGAAUAUUGUCCAGAGGUGAAUGUAAUGGUGACUGGAAGUUGGGAUCAGACAGUUAAAUUGUGGGAUCCCAGGACUCCUUGUAAUGCAGGAACCUUCUCUCAACCCGAGAAGGUGUAUACGCUCUCUGUGUCUGGAGAUAGAUUAAUUGUGGGGACUGCAGGUCGGAGAGUCUUGGUCUGGGAUCUACGGAAUAUGGGUUAUGUCCAGCAGAGAAGAGAGUCAAGUUUGAAGUAUCAGACCCGUUGCAUCAGAGCAUUUCCAAACAAACAGGGUUAUGUUUUAAGCUCUAUUGAAGGUCGUGUUGCAGUAGAGUACUUGGAUCCAAGUCCAGAAAUACAGAAGAAGAAAUAUGCAUUCAAGUGUCAUAGAUUGAAGGAGAAUAAUAUUGAGCAGAUUUAUCCAGUUAAUGCUAUUUCUUUCCACAACAUCCACAACACGUUUGCUACAGGUGGUUCUGAUGGAUUUGUAAACAUUUGGGAUCCAUUUAAUAAAAAGCGACUAUGUCAAUUCCAUCGGUAUCCCACAAGCAUAGCAUCACUCGCCUUCAGUAAUGAUGGAACCACCCUUGCAAUAGCUUCGUCAUACAUGUAUGAAAUGGAUGACAUUGAACAUCCUGAAGAUGGUAUCUUCAUUCGCCAAGUGACAGAUGCAGAAACAAAACCCAAAUUAGAGACCUAACUUUUCCACCGUGGAAAAGCAUUGAACUGAUUCUAGGGAGACUGCAUCAAAAUCAUGUCUACUUAAAAAUCUGGCAGGAAGCUUCAGCUCUUCUUUAUGAAAGGCUUGUUUACCUGCUCCUAACAAGACUAGCCUGUAAUGGUGAUUAAAAGAUAGAAGUGGAAAGAACAUUUUUUUUUUAUUGAUUUUCCUUUUAACUAAGAAACUUGUGUAUUUCUGUACCUUUUGUAUACUUCACUCUAGCGUUAUUUCUUUUUUUUUUUAUUUAGAGCAUCAGUGCAUCCAUGUUUUGUUUAAUUGCAGUCUUAAAAGUAAAAUGAGUCUUUCCUGUAAGCAAACUGUUUUAAAACCACUUACUGCAUUUUUGUUCUGGAAGCUUCCGGUAGUUUCAGAACUGCUCAAUAAAUCACUUUGAAAACCUUAA